AAAUGGACUACUGGUGAAAGUUUUGUUAGAUAAGAAAUUCUGGUAAGAAACCUUAAUCGUUGCAAGUUUCAGUAUUGUUAUAAAAACUUAAAGCACCAAGAUUUUUCAGGUUCUAUUAACUAAGAAAAGUGAUAGGAGAUUGCAAAUAAUGUCCACAAAUGAAUAUACAUUGAUGUUGAUUAAUCUGCUCUGAAGUUUUUACACCUUUAAUGGUGGUUGACAGAAUGCUUCUCAUACUGAAGUACUCUUUUUUAUGUUUUUGUUUUUUUUUCCCUUUUUUAUGUAGUCUGAAAGUAAAUACAUAAGAUCUGGGUUGUUACUGGACUAGAUUUCCAGUGGAUUCCACUUACUCUAAAGUAGUAAUAUUAAUAAAUUAUAAAACUUAAAGUAGCUCAGUUUAUUCACCCUGAUGGACCUGUAGUAAAACUACCAUUAUGAUAGGCUUCCAACUCUGCUGCUGCCUUGUGUUUCUUAUACUGACCUUGAUUUUGAAUUAGAAUCUAUUUAAGCCAAUUAUAGCUAAUGUAUAUGAACCCACUGAAAAAGUGACUUCUCUGCCUUUGAUGCAUGUGUAUUUUUCUUUCAGUUUGGUAGCUCUGAAGCUAAUGCUGAUAAGUAGGGAAAAAAAAUAAAGCUGUAUUCGGGGUAAGAUCCCCUUUUCCCUGCCUCCCACCAGGAAUCAUUGUCAGUAAUUAAGCAUUUUAGGUAGUGUUUUGAUGAAUCAGUAGGAACAAUGUGCUGUUUGUACUCCAGUUAUUUGUUUUCUUGGGGGAUUCUUCUUUGCUUGCAGAUGUGUAAGAAUAUAUAAAAAUACUCAAAUCUGAGACUGCCUCUUGAGACUGAAGGAAUCUAAGUGCAUGAGGCUGAAUGAUAUGUGUCCAGGGGUUGUGAAGGUGCUGGCUGAUGUGGUUUCCAAGCUGCUCCCCAUCAUAUUGGAAAAAUCAUAGCUGUCAGAUGAAAUCCCUAGUGACUGGAAAAAGGGAAAUGUCAUUUCCAUGCUUAAGAAAGGGAAGAAGGAAGACCUGGAGAAUGACAGGCCCAUGAGCCUCAUGUCUGUCCCUGGGAAGAUCAUGGAGCAGAUCCUGCUAUAAAAACAUGUUAGGGUACAUGAGGGAUGAACUGAGGAAUGAUGAUCUGAGAUGGCUAGCAUGGUUUCACCAAGGCCAGAUCAUGCCUGACCCAUGUGGUGGUCUUUUGUGACAGAGGGUGAGUGAUGAAGUGAAGGGAUGCUAGUUACAACCAUUAAAUAUGUUAUAUAUUUUCUAUGCAGCCCAAGACAAUUCCUUUUCACUAUGUGCUGCUCAGGCAAACCAAAUGGUUGGAUACUGGUGGGUUAGGUGUCAUAUAUGUCUGAGGCAUUAAGUCCUUAGCAGUUCAUUUGCACGUGAAGCUACAUAGAUAUGCUGGUGCCAAUAAUUAUAGCCUUUUUUUUUUUCUGACUUUUUUGGGCAUAAAUAUUUAGUUGUUCUUCUGCUUUCCAUUAGUCUUAAAGUGAUGCUUUUUUUUUUUUCAAGUUUAAAAUGCAGUCUGGAUCACACAUAAUUUAUUGCUGCUGUCCUUCAAAGUUUGCUUUUUCCUUUUUAUAUCCUUAAGUAAAUCAUAAUUUGGCAGGUCAGACUUACAUGAUUCCUUAUUGUCCCAGUGGGCUUAUUAACAUUUUUCAAACACCUAGGCUUGUAACAUUAUCGUUGGAUUAAUGUACCUUUUCUGGAGAUCUGCUGAGUUCUUGUCAACGUUUGCUGACAAGUGAGUAACUUAAUUUACUGUAGUAAUAUUUUAGAUAUUUGCAGUUGCAUACUUAAUUAAAGAAGUGAGUUAUGGGAUAAAAUGUGUUCCCUUUAAGCCAAUAGCACUUUUAAGACUGCAUUUUCCCCACAGUGUUCUUGUGUUCCUGAAGUCUCAUCUGCCAGUGGUAAAGUAGCAAAAAUAAAAUAGCACACUUUUAUAUCAAACUGUCCCCCCUAGGCCCCUCACCCUGCUCCUCACCAAAAUAAUUUCUGCCACAGUUUGCACUGUUUAGCUCAUCCACACAAUCUUUUUAGCUAUCUAACAUGGCUUUGUUUAUUGCUUUAAUAGAUGAACUGGAGAGAAGAAUUGUAAUUACACAUUUAUAGGCUCAAGUUGAAAGGCAUUUUGUCUUUCAGGCUUUCUUCCAGUGUUCCUCUUUUGUAUGCUUUAGUUUCUAGAACAAUAACUUGAGAGGAUCUGCGAGGGUGAUGGAGGACAGAGCUGGAAUUCAGGCAUCAGAACUGAAAGAUUUACAAGAGUUCAGAAGUGGAGAAACAAUCAGGAAAAAAAAAGUUAAAAAAAAAAAAAGAUGGAAAAAACCCUAAAAAUCUGGUUAAGUAAGGAUGAGAACAAAAUACUUUGCUUGUAAAUAAGUUUGUUGUGAAGACAUUGAUGAAGUAGCUGUUCUGGAGAAAUGCCUGCAGUUUAUAGUGAGUCACAAGCUGACUAUAACUUAAGAGCUACACUCUUAUGAGAAACGUCAAACAGCCUGUUUGAAACAUGACAGCUCUUCCACUCAGAAUUGGUAAGGUAUCACUUGCAGAGUUUUGUCCAGUUCUGGGAAUCAUUUAAAUACAGAUGUGGAUCAGAUAAAGAGUCCGAAGCACAGCUACAAGAACCAUCUGAGGAAAGUCUGAAUACAAGAGAGUUUCAGAACUGGAGUGCUUUAGAUUAAAGCAGAUAAAACUGAGGGAUGGAGUGAAUUUUCAAAUUUGUAUAAGUCAGCUGCAAAAUAAGGCAAAAAUGAUGUGGUUUUCUUGUUUCCUAUUGCAGAAGACAAUGGAAACAGCUGAAUAGAUUACCUUGAUAGUUAUAGCACAUCACAAGAGAGUAACUUCUUUUACUUACUGUAUGGAAGUAGACUUAGAUAGUCAUAGGAAAAUCCCUCCAGUAUUGCCACUCUGUUGCUCAUGUUGAAUAUCCUGUGCAUUAUAUACUGAUUUACUGCUUGCAGCAGACAACUUGGAUUAAUUUGUUCCUUUCAGAGAUGCUACUUUUUAGACCCCGGAAUAUAUUCUCCAUUAUCUUUAUUUUUUCAGUGUAAAAGGGAAAUAGAACCACGGUGCUGCCACACUAUGACCAGUUGCGCUGCUGGAAUGUAAGUACGUAGGGGUACAUCAAUGCUUGCUUGCCUUGCUUUCCAUGCUUCAGAGAGCCAAGUCGGAGCCUUUAUGCAGAGAUCCGAGUUACAGCUGUGGUCUUAUCUCUUCCCUUUCUCCUUUGCUUUUCUUUUAUCUGUUCUUCUGAGGUAGUUCUGGCAUUCUUAAGUCUAACAUUGAAGCUGAAAAGGGAAGCACCGCUAAACUUUAUUGGUAUUAUGCCAGUAUAACUUCAGUAGAAGCAAAUACUCUUCAUCAUCAAUAGAAGUAUUGGUGGGGAGGGUGACAAACAGCAUCUCCCCUGGUACACAGUAGUGUUUAUGUGAGGUGCUUCAAAUACAUGAACGAAGUUGAGAAAUGUUGAGAAAUCAUUCCUUUAUGAAGGACCAAUUAAGUAUUCCUUCAUAAAUGGACAGCAAUGGGAUGUCAACCACUCAUAUUUUUUCACUGAUCAGAAUAUCAGCAGUUAGAUGAACCAUGCAACUGCAGGUAUAAAAGGGGGUGAAUUUGAAUGAGUGAAAGUCUGAGGCUCUGCAGUGAGGCUAGAAAUGAAUUAUAUUUGCAUCACAAUGUGCUGGAGCCAAACGCUACUGAAGUAUUAAAAAUACUAUCAAAAUCUGCUGUACUGCAGUGCUUCGAUGAAACAUGAAAAUCAUGUGAGUUGUUAGUAUCCUUCCAAGGACAAAAUUUGGUCCUAAGACUGUGGUCAUCUUGGCUUUAGAUAUCACAAACUAUUUGAGUUUCUAGUUACACUGGGUGUAAUCAGACCCUCUUGAUGUGUGUGCAUGUGGACAUAUAGUUUACAUUUACUGUUGAAGAGGUUAGGCUCUUCUUGCUGCUGGCAUUUACUUCUUGGUAUGUUAAUGGAAGCCUUUGUAUAAUCUGAGUGGAAAAUAUGAGUCAUAGUUUCCUUUCUUACUGUCUAUAUGCCAUGUGCAAUACCAAGCAAAGCUUACUAACAUUUAAUAGUGAAUGAUCUUUAGAAUGAUAUGUCUUAGCAAGUAGCUUCUUCCUGUACUGAAUGUGGAGUGAAGUAUUCUAUCGGGUUAUGAGAGAGAGAAUGGAGAAAUCAAAUGAGUAAUGAAAUAGUUAAGUGUCGAUUUCUGAAGUAUGUUAUUCUCUUACUGUGCUUGUACAAGACAGGAUGCUUUAUUCCAUAUUCUGUAACAUCAUAUCUCAUAGUGUUUAUUUGGACUCUAAUUUCUCCUAGCAUAGGGUGAAGGGGAGAGAGUUUUUCUUCAGGCUUGAAAAUUGCUUGAUUACUGCCAGCUGACUGUUGCAUAUACAUAUAUACAUAUGUAAAUAAAUAUAUGUAUUACAUAUGUAUGUUAUUGCUUCUACUCAUGAUUGUCAUUCAUCAAUGAUGAGCAUGUUCUCUGCCCUCUUCUUCCCUCCUGUAAAAUAAGGAUUCUUAUUCUACUUGAUCACUUUUAUUAGAUUCUCUUGUCUGUUAUAAUUUUGUGCCAAAUUUCUUCAUUUCUGAACCUGUGAAAGGAAGCAAUUAUCAUUUAUAUGUCAGAAUCCACUAAGAGGUGUUACUACAUCCCAUAUAAAUCAACAUAAUCCAAAUAUCUUGGUGCUCAGUGAACAUAUGCGAGAGCAAAGAAUAGAAUGUAUUCACAUGAAAAGUUCAUCAAAUUACUGCUUUUAGGACUGAAAUGGGUCCUCCUUCCAGUUUUGUGCAUCAAGAUGAAUAGCAAUCUGGAAAACCAUAUGCAGGAGAUGAGAGCUUGAAGACAACUGUGGCUCAGGCUUGCUCUCUUUGAUGCACAAUUGCUGACAAAAUAAACCCAGUCAAAAAUACUGCUUGUCUGGAAAUGGAAAAUAAUUUCAAAUGCACCUGAAGAUAGACAGCACCACCAAAGUUUAUUUAAGAAGAUACGCUUCGCUUUUUACUUAAAGGUGAAAUCAUCAUUGCCACAAUAAGAAGCAUAUUUUAUUAUUCCUCUGAGGAAAGUGUAACCUGAGGUACCAGAAAUAGGAAUACUUAAACAGAAUCAUUUAUCCAGCUGAACUUUCACAUGCGAGAAAUCUAAAAACAGGGCCGACUCCAAAGUAAUGAUUUGCACUGCACUUUGUAUGAAGGAAUAGACUUUGUUUCCGUGGUUCUGUUUCAUAUUUUCUUUUAGGAAACUGACGUGUCAAAUCACAGAAUAGUGUGCAUGGUAAAUUGAUACUUUCGUAUUUUUGUGUGACUCAAUCUUGUGGUUUAAGACCAGUGGACAGAGGUCUCUGUAAUAGUAUUUAUUGUCAUACAUAGAAUCAUCUGUUUUUUUUUUUUUUUUUGGUUAUGUCAAGAGGCUAGAGCUUGCGCAAGAAACAUGCAGGACUCAUCUUUCCAGUUUCUGUGUUUUGUUGGUCUCUGGGAUAAGUACAGUUUUCAGGACUUUCAUCUGUAAUUGGCAUUCCUGUGAACACUGGAGUUCUUCUAAUUCUCCUUCUUACUUCAUCUGUUUAUGAGGGUGGAUAGUGAUAGGACAAGGGGGAAUGGUUUUAAACUGAGACAGGAUAUUUAGGUUAGAUAUUAGGAGGAAGUUUUUCAUGCACAGGGUGGUGACGCACUGGAACAGGUUGCCCAAGGAGGCUGUGGCUGCCCCAUCCCUGGAGGCAUUCAAGGCCAAGUUGGAUGUGACUCUGGGCAGCCUGGUCUAGUGGCUGGCAACCCUGCACAUAGCAGGGGGUUGAAACUAGAUGAUCCUGGUGGUCCUUUUCAACCCAGGCCAUUCGAUGAUUCUAUGAUUUUAUAAUCAGGCUCUAUGAUUAUGAAACAGGAAAAUAAAAACCACAACCAAAAAAGCCUAUAUAGAUACCCAUGGAAUACGGAAGUAAUAAAUACAUUAUGUAAGUAAAGGUAAGAUGUAAUUUAAUGCUUUUUGAUCAAAAAGCAUUAUGUACGUUACAGCUUAUGUAGCUGUAACUGUCAGAAGUGGAAACGCUUCUUAGGUUUCAGUUAUUUAAAACCACAUUAUAGGCUCUUUAUUCACACUGUUGAGUUGGAAAUUACUCAGAUCAAUGAUGUCAGUGAAGGUGCUACAGAGAGGUAGAGUUUUGGAAGCACAUCUGAGAAGACAAUGACAGAAAAAUAAAUAAUUGUCUUUAUUGUAUAGUAUUAAUGGCUUCCAAAUAAGUUUAACAUCAAAGCACAUAAAAAAAAAAAAAAGCCUUUAUGUGGCUAGAGAAUUAAAUUGAAACACAGAAAAAUGUUUAGAGGGUUUUUAUCUUUUUUCUCCCAACAGGAAAGGACAAUUCAAUAUGUAGAUGCUUUUUUUUAUAAAAUAAAUAGCCUUUGUGUCACUAUGGAGAAUAAAAAUUGUGAUCACUGAAAUCCCAGUGCAGCAACUCUGUAUAUAAUCAAAGUGAAAAGAUCUGUUUUGCACAUUCAUGCUGAAUCUCUCUCAGUAGCUACAAAACAAUUUGCUUCUGCUGUCAGGGGGUGAAAGAAGCAAUUGUCUUCCUGUUCUGUUAAGAGAACCUUUAUUUCUGCCUUUGCUGCUCAGGGAAAUACUUUACUCUGCUCAUCCAGUACUAAGAAAAUAUGGAACCUCUGAUGUCAUCUUGUCAACUUAUUAGUUUCUCCUGUCUUGCUGAGAAGUUCUGUAUGCAGAGGUAAUCUUGUAAAAUCCUUUGACUGAAAGAAAUGAGGCAUUUUGUAGAGUAAUAUAAUCAUCAGCCUAGAGACAAAAUUCUUCUCAGAUAUGUCUUGACUACAUACUGUAACCUCCAGAAUUUUGACUGAUUUUAGCUGUGUGUGAUUACCCUCAUGCACUGUCUGACUAAAGGAUGUUUGUGGAGGACGCUGUCUGGCACAUGGAAUAUGCCUUCAGACCCAGUCACUGAGAUACAACUUGCUUACUCUCCACAACAGCAUUUGAAGGUGGAUACCAUUGAAAAAUGGAACAGAAUAAUUUUUUCAGUUAUAGGACUCCAGAGUCUAAGGAAUAAUUCCUUGCUGGAAGGGAUUGUUUAUUACAGGAAGAUAAAAAUUGAGAUUGAUUAACUGAAAGCUUAAGGUAUCCAUGGACAAAAGCCAGAUCUUAUUCUAUGUAGGCACUUAAUGAUCCCCACCUAAUACAUUAGAGAAACUGAUUAUUGAUAACUGACUUGAAUAGUCUCAAGUAUUUCUUUAAAAACUAUUCUUACUAGUGUGAUACUAGAACUAGCUGAGGUGAGUGAUAUUUGAAAUGUGUAAGGGUAGAUGCUGCUAGCUGAAUGAGGAGAUCAGCAACAGAAUGCAAGCAAACAGAACUGCAUUUGUACUUUUUUUGCAACCAGUAUUUUAUUUUAGAAAAGUAUGUCUUGCUCAGCUGUUACAAUGUGGGCUGUAGAGCUUUGUGCACAUGUAGUCUUUGAUGGAAUUGAUAAAGCUAGCACUCACUGCUUAGGAGAAACUUUAUAGUCUUCAUGGAUAAGUUAUUAAAAAUGUUCUCUGUUCUAAGAAUGUAUACUCUAUUCUAAGAAUUUUUAUCAGUGUUUUUUCUGGUUAAGACCUCAAGUGAACUUAAAUAUAUUUUACUCUGAUAAACUUUGUGAAUUUUAAUAUCUGGAUUUCACAGCCCUUCUAAUUUUAAUUAAAAAUACUAAACAUGCAGCUGCGUAGCAACUUGAAAAAACUGAAUUAAAAGCUUGAGGUGAAGAUCUAUUUGAGAGAAUGCAUGAUACUUUACUGUUUUUUGUUUCUUCUGCUGACUGAUAUGCAGAUUCAAGCUAAUUUCUCUUGCUUGGACAAUUUGAAUAUGGUAUUACUGAUACAAGGUAAUAGUGUUACACCCGCCUCUCCUUAAAAACAGCAAAAUAAAAACAUGCACGCACAAAGUACGAAACCUUCCAAAAGCAUCUAAGAACAAACAAACAAACAAAAAAACUACCUCAGUAACCAUCUCCUUCAUAUUUGGUCUUUAUCUGUGAAUCGAUGUCACUAUCCUGUGAUGAUGCACAAAGAGAGCUGAAAGUUCUGUCUUUGCUUUGCAAAUGAUGAGUCCUAGUUUUUCUUGCUUCUCUCUUUUUGCCCACUGCUUAACAAACUCUCUACAUCCAAUCCAGAGUGUAAUGAGAUGUAAUCAGAAGGAUCUGCUUACUUUGCAUUUUUGCUUUUUCCUAUCCCCUUGAAGUGUUUACUUAAGGGGCAAUCUCCCGUAAAUCCUUAGAUUAACAAGUGUCAGUAUAAAAUUGUUGAACUUGAUGGGGAUACAUUCUCCAGCUGACUUCUCUUCAUCAUACCAGUGGAAAAUUUCUAAAAAGUUAAAACCUUGAUUAAAAAUAAAGAAAUAAAAAUUACUUGAUGGCAUUCACAUCUGAAGUUUUGUGCUUUGCUGCAAUCAUUGACUUGCAUGAAGUCCAAUAAUUGGUGUAAUGUAACUUCUAGCUUUUUAGACAGUAGGUUGAUUACUUCCAGACCCCAAAUGAGAGAUUAUCUCAUUUAGUAUGGGCCACAGACUCUUUUUCACGACAUUCUCUUUGUGGUGGAUAAACAGUAUAAAAAGAAAUUGCAGUAAUAAUGAAAACACCUUUUCUCUCCGAAGAGAAGAGUUAGAAGAAUUAUGUUUUGGUAGAGCACAAGGAAGGAAAGGGCAAUGGGAAAUUAAGACUGAGAAAUGUGGAACAAAGUUCUGCUAAUGCAUGCCUUUCCGUGUUUGAUGGUGUGUUUGCGUUUCUAUGUCUGUUUUGGGGGGUAGAGAUGAUGUUCUUAAAGGCAUUUUUCUGCAAUCUAGCCUGUGACAAAGCUGGUGGAAAAUAAUAGGGAACAAAUUACCAGUUCCCAAUCUUGAUUUUGAAGAUAUAAUUAACAAUCAUGCUCCGUGACCUUCAGAUACUUCUGUAAAUCCCAUAUUUAAAGACUAGUAGUGUUGAAUGACAGUCCUCAAUGAUCAAGUAUGAAUGUACACAAGGGCUGGAAUAAAUGAAAUCCUUGGUUUGAGGGAUCUGUUCUUGGCAGGGAAAUACUUAUACAUCUUCUGAAGUUGCAUUCACAGAGUACAUUCAUUACAUCUACUUGACCUAUGUCAAUUUAGUCUCUUUUAAAGCUUACUUUAAAAUGAAUCAUUUUGAGUUAUAAUUUGAUAAUCUAAUUACUCUCUAACUGAAAGCAUGAACUUCUUGGUACUGAGAUACUGUAACAUACGGGAAAACUUAAAUUUAACACCCAUUUGGAAAACAACACAAAACUCUCUUAUACUGCAUCUAAAAUGCCCUGCCCUCUCACAACUGUGUGUGGAAUGGAUUAUAAAUAAAAGCUAUGCUAAAUCUUCCAUGAGAAUGAAAUGAAGCAAAAGUCCUAAUAGGUAUUAAAAGAAAAGAGAGGGUUUGUGCAACAGUAAUAUGGGUAAAUAAAUAGACAAUUAAGUGCUUUAAAGCUAAAAAAAAAAAAAAAAAAAAAAAAGAAUGUUUGCUUCAGCCUAUUUUGGCUUGCAGUUUCAGUGAAUGAGUUAUAAUUGCUUGGUUAACGAAAUGGCAUAAGAAACUGGAAGUAAGAUAUCUGUUCUCAUUUAAGAUACUGCAUUAUGGAGCAGUAAUAGUGUAUUUCUCACGGUAUUACCGAUUAUUCUUUAUUUAUGUUCUUAAAAAAAAAAAAAUUGACAAGGGAUGUGCAGAUGGCUCUUCCUUCUUUUGCUCUGUGUCGAAGAAUUGAAUUUUCACUGACUAAUGGAAACAUUCUUAAUGUUUCUUUUUUCAUGAUAAUUUGGUAAACAUUUAAUGUUCUCAUCUCGUUAGAAAUGGAAAGUCAAUUAUGAAACGUAAUGUGACAGCUUAAUGAGACAAAUUUCUACUUAACUUCACCUGCUAAUCGUUUCUUUUCCCAUAAAAACAUUUGUAAGUAGCAGACUUAAUUUAUUUUUGACAGUGAGUUUUAUUCAUGUGUUUAUUCAGUUGACAAAAGUUGCCUUGAAACAUGAAAAAGAGAAAAUAAAUAUUACUUAUGUUACAGAGAUUUUAGGAAAACUGUUUGGUAGAAGGCUUUUCUUUUUUUUUUUUUUUUCCCCUUUCUAAACUCUUGGCUAACAGAGAUAGAACAUCAGAAAGUAAAGCCUGCUUUUGUGCUUUACCUGAAGAAUGCAGUGGAAAUCAAUUCCUGAUUAUUAUUACAUUUGAGGAGGACUUCUGUGUGUAUUGACCGUAGAAUCAGUUUGGAUUUUUUUUCUUUCAUUUUUUCCUGGGAAUGUAAUCAAAAAGCUGAAUAAUAAAAUUUGUGGCUUCUUAAUUACAUAUAUAUAUUUAUCUCUGCAAAGGAAUUAUUAAUUCUCAUAUACAUUCAAUCACAUACUAGCUCUGGGACAUCCUAACCAUUGAUAAAGCAUGAGGUUUGUGUUUGGUUCCCAAACAGAUACUUAAUCCUUGCUUGGAAUGUAACGCAAAGUAUAGAUGGCAAACAAAGCAUAUGUUACUAUACCUCUCUUGCACAAUACGACUUCUAUAGUGUCUGGAGGUGAUUAAGAAUAUGGAAAACAAGCUUUCAGGAAUAUGAACACAUCUGUCUUUCUAAGCAAAUUCUCCUAUGGGAUCUGAAAUUCCAGUGCUCUGAGAUCCUUAGAAUCCCUUUCAGUGACUGAAGGAUUUUUUCAGAACAAAAUUUAAUGGGAUGUGUUUAAAGAAAACAAUAUAUUGUGGCAAAACAGAAGGGAAAUUGUUUCUCAGUCAUCAUUUACAGGAAUGUUUUGUGCCUUCUACCUCAAUAAAAAAGUUGAUAACAGUUUUCUUUUAAGGAGAUGCACCUGAUAGACAUUUAUGUGCAUGUAUAUAUUAGUAUAUCUAUUAAUUUUCUUUCUCAAAGGCCUAAGAUAAAAUAAUUCCUCCUCCUUUUUCCAAAUAAAUUUAAUUUGUGGUGUUUAAGUGAAAAGCUGUCUUUUACAACAGAGUUAUCUAUGAUAUGAGACGGUUUACCAGUGAUUAAAUAAUACUGUGGCUUUCCUCUAUUUCAGCAUUAAAAUAUCCGUGGAAAGUAAAGAACUCAAGUUCUGGUUUAACUUAGGAUUUCCAUUUAUUUGCAGCUUGAGGGCUUCUGUAUUAGGAUUGGAUAGUUGUGCUGUAAAGAUAGCAAAUUUCUAUAAUCUGUAUUCAUAGUGUCUGGGUUCUUUGCAGAAGCUUGCUAUAUGCUCCGUUGAUGUAAUAGCUGAUCAUAGUAGAUAACCAUUUUUCAUCGUGAGUUUAAGCAUGUUGAUGCUCUGCCAUGGAAAUAUGGUGUUCUGUCACCUAAUUGACUUUAAAAUUCUAACAGAAGAAUAUACUGUUUUCCACCAGGUUUUUGCUAUUAAUAGAACGUGCACUAUCUAGACAUCUUCUGAGUGGAAGUCAGAAUUUAUCUUAUACCAGAAAAUAUGUAAUGGAAGAAUGACCCUUUGGGUUGCUGGAGAUUUUCUCUGUGGGUCCAACUCCAGCAUUUAUUUGACUGGAAAAGCACACUGUCCCUCACAGGACAACUUAUGUGUAUCAUGGGCAAGAUACUAGUGUUCAUCUUCAGUAGUUCUUCAGAAUGCCAAGGUCCUGGGAUAAGUUCAGAAGCAGAAGUUGUUUUUCUUGUGGCAGAGUUUAAAGCUACUAAAGUAAAUGAAUUUUUGAACAAAUUUCCCCAUAGUGAUAUAUAAAUAAGAGUCAUGUGAAACUACAUCUAGCAAACUUAAUCACAAGGGCCAGCAUUUACCCUCUGUACACCCCUCUUCAGUGUAGAAUUGAGCUUCUGAAAUUUGAUUAUUGCUGUUUAUUAGGCUUAGUUAAUGGUACUUAAGCAGUUAAUUGUUGAAGGAAAUAAUACAUGCUUUAAUGGUAUAAAAAAGUUAUGUUUUAUGUCACUUACUGAA
rnacentral:lncRNA from 1 species